rnacentral:rRNA from 1 species
GCAGUAGCAGGCGUACUGUCUAGGGGACGGCUGCUCCGCUUCUGCACCCUGCUCUAGGAGGAGAAGGUGGAUGUGGAGUAGGAGGUUAAGGAUGCGGUGACCGUGGUGGCGAUGACGCAUUCUGAUGUCUGCCUUAUCAACUUUCGAUGUUACUUUCUGCGCCUACCAUGGUGACCAUGGGUAAAGGGAAAUCAGGGUUUUAUUCAGGAGAGGGAGGAUGAGAAACAGCUACCACAUCCAAGGAAGGCAGCGGGCGCGCAAAUUACCCACUCCCCACGCGGGGAGGUAGUGAC